AUACCGUGAAACUGCGAAUGGCUCAUUAAAUCAGUUAUCGUUUAUUUGAUAGUACCUUACUACUUGGAUAACCGUGGUAAUUCUAGAGCUAAUACAUGCUGAAAACCCCAACUUCGGGAGGGGUGUAUUUAUUAGAUAAAAAACCAACGCCCUUCGGGGCUUCUUGGUGAUUCAUGAUAACUUCACGGAUCGCAUGGCCUUGCGCCGGCGACGGUUCAUUCAAAUUUCUGCCCUAUCAACUUUCGAUGGUAAGGUAUUGGCUUACCAUGGUUUCAACGGGUAACGGGGAAUUAGGGUUCGAUUCCGGAGAGGGAGCCUGAGAAACGGCUACCACAUCCAAGGAAGGCAGCAGGCGCGCAAAUUACCCAAUCCCGACACGGGGAGGUAGUGACAAUAAAUACUGAUACAGGGCUCUUUUGGGUCUUGUAAUUGGAAUGAGUACAAUUUAAACCUCUUAACGAAGAACAAUUGGANNNNNNNNNNNNNNNNNNNNNNNGCGGUAAUUCCAGCUCCAAUAGCGUAUAUUAAAGUUGUUGCAGUUAAAAAGCUCGUAGUUGAAACUUGGGCCUGGCUGGCAGGUCCGCCUCACCGCGUGUACUUGUCCGGCCGGGCCUUUCCUUCUGGAGAACCUCAUGCCCUUCACUGGGUGUGCUGGGGAACCAGGACUUUUACUUUGAAAAAAUUAGAGUGUUCAAAGCAGGCCUUUGCUCGAAUACGUUAGCAUGGAAUAAUAGAAUAGGACGUGCGGUCCUAUUUUGUUGGUUUCUAGGACCGCCGUAAUGAUUAAUAGGGACAGUCGGGGGCAUCAGUAUUCAAUUGUCAGAGGUGAAAUUCUUGGAUUUAUUGAAGACUAACUACUGCGAAAGCAUUUGCCAAGGAUGUUUUCAUUAAUCAGUGAACGAAAGUUAGGGGAUCGAAGACGAUCAGAUACCGUCGUAGUCUUAACCGUAAACUAUGCCGACUAGGGAUCGGGCGAUGUUCUUUUUCUGACUCGCUCGGCACCUUACGAGAAAUCAAAUUUUUGGGUUCUGGGGGAGUAUGGUC
rnacentral:rRNA from 1 species